GUUUAGAGAUGGUGCAUGAGAAGUAGGAGGAGAGUCAAGAGGAAGCUGUGGAAGGGAAGACAGAAAGAAUGAACGACUAAAACGGAACAAGCGCCAGAGUGGGUGAGGAGAGUUGGUUUACACUGCAAUCAGCAUUAAGGAAAUUGGUUUGCACUUGCGCUGCAAGUGGAGAGAGGUGAUUGAUGCUAAGCUAGGCUAGCAGGAAGGAAGUGGAGAAAUUAGCGGCAGGCAAGGGCACCGAGAGCUGUCAACUACUUCCUGGUCCAUCUGGGGUGUGAAGUAUGCGUCCACUGCCAGCCCUCGUGCACCACUUGUGCUGGUUGUUCACAGUGACUCCCUGGCUUGAUUUAUCUGAUGGAAGGAAAUCUGCACAGAGCUCCGGUGGUAUCCCUAUACUGUAACCUUUCCCCCCGCCAGAUGUUCCUCUCUCAAAACACGAAGCGACAAGGACAGUGACACGGCGUUGGGGGACAAGGAAGAGAGACCCAGACGGAGCGAUAGACAGACGGAGGUGUGAGACAUAUGCUCCCGCCAGCUGAUGACACCGGGGUGACCUGGAGGAGUAAGGGGAGAUUUAGGGAAGAAAUGGGUUGAUAACUCCCACAAAUGUUGUUACGGGUGAUACUCUGAGUUUAGCAGUUUGUCCGGAUCUGAGCGCCGGAGCUGAUUUAUUGUAUCCUCCCUUUUAACACAGAAUUUUCCUUUUACAUGCAUUUUUGAUUGAGCGCAAGGCAUUUCAACGAGGGGUUAGGGUGGCUUAUGCUGGAGCAGCUGCUGGAUAGUUUAGAACAUAAAUAUGUAAAUGAUAGGUAUAGCCAGUGUGUUUCAGUAGCUCGGCCCGCUAAUAAUAAUGGAUUAAUGGAAUGAUAAUGUAAAAACACCAGCUUUAAGUCUUGGGUCAGAUGCAGCUUCUAAACGUGGCUCCACCAGUUUGGAUUAAAUUGAAUUAAACCAAUAAAGAAAAAAAAAUACAGGCCGGGUUCAGGUCUCAGUUAUUGGCUCGUUGUUUGCACGGUGUUCCCUUUAUUUAUACAACACCAGCCAGAGAGAAUAGGAAAGAGAGACAUAUAUGAUAACAAUCCUGCUGUCGAUGAUGGGGGGUAAACUAUGUCAAGGCCUUCACAGCUUUGACCGCCUCAGCCGAUAUUUGUCACUUUCAGCGCGCAUGAACACUUGAUUUGAUGUGGCUUAAUUGAUUCAGGUCUCCGUGUCACUGUCUGUCAGUCUGCCCUCGACCGAACAGUCAC
ensembl:lncRNA